AUUGAACGCUGGCGGCAGGCCUAAUACAUGCAAGUCGAACGAGUGGCGGACGGGUGGGUAAUGUCUGGGAAACUGCCUGAUGGGGGGGAUAACUACUGGAAACGGUAGCUAAUACCGCAUAACAUCGGAUUCGCCCAGAUGGGAUUAGUUAGUCGGGGGGGUAAAGGCUCACCUAGGCGACGAUCCCUAGCUGGCCUGAGAGGAUGACCGGCCACACUGGGACUGAGACACGGUCCAGACUCCUACGGGAGGCAGCAGUGGGGAAUAUUGCACAAUGGGCGAAAGCCUGAUGCAGCAAUGCCGCGUGUAUGAAGAAGGCUUUCGGGUUGUAAAGUACUGUCAGCGGGGAGGCGUUACCCGCAGAAGAAGCCACGGCUAACUCCGUGCCAGCCGCCGCGGUAAUUC
rnacentral:rRNA from 1 species